UUUCAUAACAGAAAAAUGAUCAGUGUCAGAAAAAGAAGAACUCCGUAAAGAGAAAGAUUUUGUGGCCUUGUUAUUUUCAUCCCAGGCUCUGCGUGCAGGAGCCGUUCCAAAUCUGUGCGUGGGAGCCAGUUGGAGUAGACCAAAGAGAGGGAAAGGGAGAGAGUGAGAAAAAGAGAAAAAGAGAAAAGAAAGAUUUGGAGGGGGUGCUUUGACAUGCUCUCCAAGAACGGCACCGCUUGAGCAUGUGGACUUCCGGAUCCCUCCCGGGGUGCACGCAGUCAGUGUUGCUAGGAGACAGACUUCCGUGGGGUUGGUGGAGGAUGACGCCUGGCAGGGUAGGAGGUGGAGCAUGUUUGUACGUUUGGCCCCCACACUUUCAUUUGGAACGAAGACAGGGAAAAAAGGACCUUCUGAAUCUACAACUCUAUGUCCACAAUGUGGUCCUGUAACCUCCUAAUCUCAAGGGGGCGCCACCAACACCUGUGGCCACACAGCUUAAGCACCAAUACCAUGAGAACAUGGUUGCCAGGAUACAAGAGGAGUUUGUUGUUAAAGUCUGCCAGAAGAUGAUGGAGAUGAUUCUGAAGGAGACUCUGGGCUCUCAGGGGGUUGGCGUCACCAUUGGGACAAGGACAGGCGUUGCUAAGAGAUGCCACUGACCGGCCUUGGUUGUAUGUUGGAGAGAAGAGAGAGAGAGAGACAGGAGUUGGAUGUUCAAAAGACGUUAUGCGUCAGUGGGUAACACACUGAGAAAAAAGCCAUGGUGGUGUUGGAGCCGUGUCUGAUCUGGACUGGAUGUGCGCUCGGCUGUAGUCGUGGCUGAUGCAGUGCUGUUGGCUCCUGGGCAGGCAGGCGGGCCCCUGCGGCCCGGGCCCUAUUCCAGCAUGGGCGGCAGCAAAACGGACAAAGAAGCUCAGUCUCUCCGGGAACUAAAAUGACCAAGAAUGAGUGGACAAAUGAUGGAAGAUGGAGGUCAAGAAAAGGAAGAUGAUAUCGUGGAGUUCCAGAGGAGAGAUCGACGCUACUCAUUUGAGGAACCUGCUGUACAUUGCACAUGACCCACUUCCACACUCUUGCCGCCACCCACCCCCAGUCUCUCUCUCCUGUAUGCAUGAACUGCUCGCACACUCCCUGGUGUCGGCACACGCACAAUCGAUUUAUAAACUAAACAUCCAGGUGUUUGCAAAUGUGAUGUAAUAAGCAAUAAGCCACACUGACACAGGAUAAUACUGGUGAUGUAUUAAUAUUUUACUUUUCUCAAAAGACUAAAGAAAAGAGAACUCUGCUGUUCCUCAGAGGGUUAACACAUUUAAGAUCAUCACAUCUGUUUUUGGUCACGCUCACACAUGUUCUAGCAAAGAUAAGCAGUUCCUCCUCAAAAAAGAAUCAGUUGAGAAUAUAAUUAAUAUUACAAAAUAUAAAGCCACGGAAAAAAUUAAGAGACCAUUCGAAAUGUUGAUUUAAUCUAGAUUUAUUGUGAUCAUUCCAGUCCAAUGUCUGUUGAAUUUCAACAAAAUCAAACGUCAGGAGUGAAAAAGUCAUGACAAGACAAAUGAAAACUGUGAUAAAAAUCGUUAUUUGAACUUUUAAUAAAUACAUGUGCUAAUAAUA